UUUGGCUUCAGUGUCUGAUUUUUUUUUGCAGGAUGCUGUUUAGCGUUCACCAUCGAUAGAGUAAAUUCUUAAGGCAUACACCGCAUACACUGAUUUUAUAAUAAAUGGCGAAAAUGCAUUGGAGUAGUGUCUUUUUUCUUAAAUGCUUCAAAUGAAACUUGCAUAUUAUAAUUUAGUUUAUUGACACUAAUAAGUUGAUCUUUAUUAUUAUUUAUUGGUUCAAGAUCUACAUAAAGAUUUUAUAGUUCGCGAUUGGUGUACCUAAUCGUGUCUUUACCGUUAAAAUUAUUGUAAAAAAGUAGUUAAAAGUGUGCUCGAAAAUUUUCUCUUCAUCUGCUAAACAGUAUCCCUCUCAUUAAUAGAAAUGGCAUACUACUGGCUUAAACCGAAGUUACACUUGGAGUACCUAAUCACAGACUAGCCUAGUAAUUAUCUCGUAUAAACAUCGUUAUAAACUUGGCUUAGACUCGGAGUAGCUAAGCAUAGGCAAAUCUUCGAAUUUAAAUGUAAAAAGAACGAAUGUUUGAAAGAAACUAAUGGUUUUGACAGUAAGUUAUGGAUAGGGUGACAAAUCAAGUAUUAGUUUUUGAGUUUGACAACUUCUUACUGUUUGUUUUUCGCCUGCGGCCUUUCUCGUUUGUAGCAAAGAAUAUAUUAAAGAGUUUAAGCUUGGAGUUUGUUGUGCGUUCAAGUGAAGAGUCUUAAACUGAGCAAUCAGAUUUCAAAAUAUGGGUAAUAUUACUAAUAUAAUAGCAUAAUUUAAAUAUAAUCUUUUCUUAUUUUAUCAUGUCUACCAUCAAAAGAAACCGAUCUACUAAUUGGGAUGAAGAUGAAAAGCAAUUACUUCUCUGUAUUUUAAAGGAUUAUACUCCUAUUAUUGAGGACAAGUGUUUAUAUACAAAUUCAAUUAAAAGAAAGACCAAAGCUUGGGAGGAGGUUCACCAAAGGUUUAAUAGUUUAAACAAUAGAAAUCGGGAUGUAAAUCAAUUAAGAUUGCAAUGGAAAUCAAUGAAGAUAAAUGCUCGCAAGACUGCUCACUCUAAUAAUAAAAGAGAAACCAGUAGUGGAGCAAGACCACCAUCACCCCAUAUAACCAUUGAGGUUAAAGAUUUACUUAAUCCAGCACAGCUAUUUCCAGAUUUAAAUAAAUGUGAUUCAGAUGGAAUUGUGAAAGAACAGAGAUGAGCAGAUCAACACUUCCAGAAUGGCAAGCCAUUCUCCUAAGUUAAAAGAUACAGAAUUUGCCAGACGAAUGGAAAUGGCAGAAGAGAAACAUGCCUUAGAAAUUGAAAUUUUAAGAGAAAAUCUGAAGCAAGCUCAGAUAGAGCGUCAAAUUUCAGAGAAGAAAUUGAUAAAGAUAUGUAGUGAAACUUAAAAUUAAAUAUUCUUUAGUUUAAUUUCUUCUAUAUUAUACUAAGUUAGUUUUAGUUUAUGUGAAAGUUAAUAUAAUAAAUUUCUGUAAGUAUAGCUUUUUUAAGCUGGUGCAAUAAGCAAGGAUAUUUAUUUUUUCAUUUUUAUAAUUAUGUUGCACAUAACCUUCUAGAGAUUAUAAAAAUAUUUGUAAAAUACUGAAAGGUUGAGUUAUCCAACGGGUUACCCCAUCUUGGUAAUGUGCUUUAUGAGAAAAAUAGUGUUCAAAACCUGAUAGUUAAAAGUAAGUUAUAUUAAUAAGUAAGUGUACAUACAUAAUUUUUUGAUUAAAUGAUUUUUGACUA